rnacentral:rRNA from 1 species
UUAAGCCAUGCGAGUCGAGAGGUGUAAGACCUCGGCAUACUGCUCAGUAACACGUGGUUAACCUGCCCUAAGGUGGAGAAUACUCCCGGGAAACUGGGGCUAAUGCUCCAUAGUGGAUAUGUCCUGGAAUGGUAUAUCCUCGAAAGAUCCGUCGCCUUAGGAUGGGACUGCGUCCGAUUAGGUUGUUGGCGGGGUAACGGCCCACCAAGCCAUUGAUCGGUACGGGUUGUGGGAGCAAGAUCCCGGAGAUGGAUUCUGAGACAUGAAUCCAGGCCCUACGGGGCGCAGCAGGCGCGCAAACUUUACAAUGCGAGCAAUCGUGAUAAGGAAACCCUGAGUGCCUGUCGAUGCAGGCUGUUCAUAUAUCUAAAUCAUAUGUGAAGAAAGGGCAGGGCAAGACCGGUGCCAGCCGCCGCGGUAAUACCGGCUGCUCGAGUGAUGGCCACUAUUACUGGGUUUAAAGCGUCCGUAGCUUGACUGUUAGGUCUCUUGGGAAAUCUUCACGCUCAACGUGAAGGCGUCUAAGAGAUACCGGCAGUCUUGGAACUGGGAGAGGUAAACCGUACUUCGGGGGUAGGAGUGAAAUCUUGUAAUCCUCGAGGGACGACCUAUGGCGAAGGCAGUUUACCAGAACAGCUUCGACAGUGAGGGACGAAAGCUGGGGGAGCAAACGGGAUUAGAUACCCCGGUAGUCCCAGCC